CUGUGGUGCAUUGUAGUUGCAUUGCACGUCAUGUCGGGCUGUGCAAUGUUCCCACAGUGCAUCCCAG
rfam:Sarcophilus harrisii ctg7180002439323, whole genome shotgun sequence.